rnacentral:rRNA from 1 species
AACGCUAGCUACAGGCUUAACACAUGCAAGUCGAGGGGCAGCAUGAACUUAGCUUGCUAAGUUUGAUGGCGACCGGCGCACGGGUGAGUAACGCGUAUCCAACCUUCCGUACACUCAGGGAUAGCCUUUCGAAAGAAAGAUUAAUACCUGAUGGUAUGAUGAGAUUGCAUGGUAACAUCAUUAAAGAUUUAUCGGUGUACGAUGGGGAUGCGUUCCAUUAGAUAGUAGGCGGGGUAACGGCCCACCUAGUCGACGAUGGAUAGGGGUUCUGAGAGGAAGGUCCCCCACAUUGGAACUGAGACACGGUCCAAACUCCUACGGGAGGCAGCAGUGAGGAAUAUUGGUCAAUGGACGAGAGUCUGAACCAGCCAAGUAGCGUGAAGGAUGAAGGUCCUACGGAUUGUAAACUUCUUUUAUAAGGGAAUAAAACCUCCCACGUGUGGGAGCUUGUAUGUACCUUAUGAAUAAGCAUCGGCUAACUCCGUGCCAGCAGCCGCGGUAAUACGGAGGAUGCGAGCGUUAUCCGGAUUUAUUGGGUUUAAAGGGAGCGCAGACGGGUCGUUAAGUCAGCUGUGAAAGUUUGGGGCUCAACCUUAAAAUUGCAGUUGAUACUGGCGUCCUUGAGUGCGGUUGAGGUGUGCGGAAUUCGUGGUGUAGCGGUGAAAUGCUUAGAUAUCACGAAGAACUCCGAUUG